GGCGCAAGCCUGAUCCAGCAAUGCCGCGUGCAGGAUGAAGGCCUUCGGGUUGUAAACUGCUUUUGUACGGAGCGAAAAGGCUUCCACUAAUACUGGGGGCUCAUGACGGUACCGUAAGAAUAAGCACCGGCUAACUACGUGCCAGCAGCCGCGGUAAUACGUAGGGUGCAAGCGUUAAUCGGAAUUACUGGGCGUAAAGCGUGCGCAGGCGGUCUUGUAAGACAGGUGUGAAAUCCCCGGGCUUAACCUGGGAACUGCACUUGUGACUGCAAGGCUGGAGUACGGCAGAGGGGGAUGGAAUUCCGCGUGUAGCAGUGAAAUGCGUAGAUAUGCGGAGGAACACCGAUGGCGAAGGCAAUCCCCUGGGCCUGUACUGACGCUCAUGCACGAAAGCGUGGGGAGCAAACAGGAUUAGAUACCCUGGUAGUCCACGCCCUAAACGAUGUCAACUGGUUGUUGGGUCUUCACUGACUCAGUAACGAAGCUAACGCGUGAAGUUGACCGCCUGGGGAGUACGGCCGCAAGGUUGAAACUCAAAGA
rnacentral:rRNA from 1 species